rnacentral:rRNA from 1 species
AGUGCGGAUGGCAACAGUGCCAGUUGCCCAUUUGGACAUCCUCGAUAACCUCGUGGCUAAUACACGCAAGCAACAGUCUGCCAUGACUGUGACUCGCCUUGGCUUCGGCCUUGGUGGGAGCACAUGGUGGAUUGCAACCAGCUGAGUGCAAGACCAGCGCCAGUCAAUGGCAGUGUGGCAGCUGAGUCAGGCUGGUCCCUAGUGGACAACUGCUCUGGAGGUGCAAAGUGAAAGCUGAGCAUAUGCCUCUUGAUCACACGAACUUCUGACCUAUCAGCUUCGACUGUGGUAUAGGGGACCACAGUGGCCUUCACAGGUGACGGAGAAUUUGGGUUCGAUUCCGGAGAGGGAGCCUGAGAGACGGCUACCACUACCAAGGUGGGCAGCAGGCGCGCAAAUUGCCCAAUACAGGAACAGCUUGUGAGGCAGCGACGAACUGCAGCAAUCCUGCUGGCAACUCUGUCAGCAGGACUUGGAAUGGAUGCUAUCCAAACACAGUGAUGAGUAACGACUGGAGGGCAAGUCUGGUGCCAGCAGCUGCGGUAAUUCCAGCUCCAAGGGCGUAUACUAACAUUGCUGCUGUUAAAGCACUUGUAGUCGGCUACUGGGCUGCAGGUCUGCUGGGUGGCCAUUGGUCCGAGGUGUCGUCCUGGGUAACUCCUUGUGGGUUGCUUGGGGUGCGGCUCCGGAGGCCUUUGGAACACAACCCCUGGCAGUAUGUCCCUGCUCCCGCUUUGUAGAUGGUGAGAACCAUUGCUCCUGCUCAAAGGCUCCUUCAUUGAAGUCCGAGGCGGUUCUACAGUUGAUGCAUGUCUGAGCACUAUAGAGGUUGUAUCCAACGAGCACCUCUGCUCACCACCGGAGUCCACCAUCAUUGUCACCCUGGAUAACUCAGUGUGCUUCAAGCAUCCACUCUUGGCUGGAUGCUCAUCCAUGGAAUGGCAUAGCAUCGACCUAUCUUGGCAACAGAGUUGUGCUGGCCUUGAGGCCUGAUAUGGACAAUGUGGGGCUGUCCCCUGUGUGCGACUGAGACUCUAAGGACUCGCUCCGAGGAGCUAACGGGUGCGCAGUAAGGGCAGUCACCAACCGCAGAUGAUGGGAAUGCUCAGGGUGGAACCUAUUGCAACGCCAGAGGUGAAAUUCUUAGACCGCUGCAGGAGGAACAGCAGCGAAGGCGUUCUGCAAGUCUAUGUUCGUCGAUCAAGAAUGAGAGUGUGGGGAGCAAAGAUGAUCAGACACCGUCGUAGUCCACGACUGUAAACUAUGCCAGCUCAGCCUUGGUGUGGCAUCAUCAGUGACCACAUCAGAGCUAUGCCCCCUUCAACGAGAAAUCCAAGCCUUUGGGUUCAGGGGGGAGUACUGUCGCAAGGCUGGAACUUAAAGGAAUUGACGGAAUGGCACCACAAGGCGUGGAGUAUGCGGCUUAAUUUGACUCAACACGGGGAAUGUUACCAGGUCAGGACCUUGCCAGGAUGGACAGAUUGACAGCUCUUUCUUGAUCCGAGGGAUGGUGGUGCAUGGCCGCUCCUGAUUGGUGGAGUGAUUUGUCUGGUUGAUUCCGAUAACGAGUGAGAUAUCUGCCUUCCAAUAGCCCCAGACUCGCAUCUGUAGGGUGGGCUACAGUGUACCUCCAGUCUGUCCUCGGACAUGGCUGGGAAGGGCACUGCUGGGCUGCCUGAGAGCUCUGGGUAAUCAGCUUCUCUGAGGUGCUGUGUUCGCUGCCAAGUGCACGCAUGCUAGAGCCAACAGCAGGUCUGUGAUGCUCCCAGAUGUCCUGGGCCGCACGCGCACUACAAUGCUUCAGUGAGGGUGUUAUGCUCCCUUGUGGAGCCCUGUCCAGAAGUGGAUGGGAAACCAUGCAAGCCUGAGGCGUGCUGGGGAUAGAUGAUUGCAACUGUCUGCCUUGAACGAGGAAUGCCUAGUAUGC